GACGAAGGGGGCUAGCGUUGUUCGGAAUUACUGGGCGUAAAGCGCACGUAGGCGGACUAUUAAGUCAGGGGUGAAAUCCCGGGGCUCAACCCCGGAACUGCCUUUGAUACUGCUAGUCUCGAGUCCGGAAGAGGUGAGUGGAAUUCCGAGUGUAGAGGUGAAAUUCGUAGAUAUUCGGAGGAACACCAGUGGCGAAGGCGGCUCACUGGUCCGGUACUGACGCUGAGGAGCGAAAGCGUGGGGAGCAAACGGG
rnacentral:rRNA from 1 species